rnacentral:lncRNA from 13 species
CCUCAUCCCCAAUAUGAGAGUAUUAGAAGGUGGGGCCCUUUAAAGAUGAUUAUGUCACAAGGUCUCUGCCCUCAUGAACAGGAGUAGUGCCCUUAAAGAGGCCCCAGAGAGCAAACUAGCCCCUUCUACCACAUGGAGGUACAGGGAGAACGUAUGGUAUAUAAAAGAGCAGGCCCUGACCAGACACCCCUCGGUCUCCAGAACUGGGCAGGAUCAGCUUUCAAGCUCUCCUGGUGGUUGUUGAUAGAAUUGGAUCUUGCAGGCUGUUGGACCAAGUUUCUUCCUGGCGACUGAUGGAAGCUGUUCUCAUUUACUUGCCACUUGGUCCUUUCAAUAGGACAGCCCAAAACACAGCAGCUGGCUUCAUCAGAAUGAGCAAGAGAAGCUCCAACAAGGUAGAAGUCAUAUUCUUUUAUAAACUAAUAUGAGAAAUGGCAUCACAACACUUUUGUAGUAUUCUGCUUAUUAGACGCAAGACACUAG